AGGUCGGCUAGCCUUCUUCCCGGCGGGAGAGCCCAGCAGGAGGCAAGGCACUCCGGGAAGGAAGGAAGGAAGGACCCAGCAGCAAGCGCUGCUGCCGCCACCACCAGGUGCAGCCGACAGCUCCGCCUCCUCCCUGAUUUCACAGCGCCUCGCCGCGGUCUUCCCACCCCGCGCAGCGAAGCAGCGGCUCUUGCCGCUGCUCUCUCUCAGGAACCCAUUCUUCGCUGUCAGUCAGAGGCACGCUGAACCGCAACCUGUUUACAAUGACAAGGUUCCGCUUUGGCCCGUGGGAACGAAAUCUUCCUCAAGAGUGCCCGAGAACAUGUGCAGAGUGCCCUUCCGCCUUCCCGUUGUGUAACCAAGUCCAUGGCCCGCCCAUUUUCCUAGGUGUGAAAUUACGAGCUCAGGGUUCCCAGGGCAAGUGGCAUAAAGUCCCAGAACUGGGGAUUUGCCACCUUCCAGGCAGGACACUAGCCAUGCCAACAGUUCAAGAGGUCAGGUCCUGUCCGUUGGCGCAUGCUCAGUACACAACCCAGUGUUAAGGAUGGCCUCCUCAACUAUGAAAAAGAACCCUUCAUGAUUAUGAGCCCCUUUGGAAUGUGGAACCAUCUUCUCAUUAUUUUUGGAAUGUCACCACUUUGAGAACUUUGGUUAAGUGAUCUGUAAAUUAUCAUAAAUAAUAAUAAAAAUAAAUAAUAAUAAUUUACAACACA